rnacentral:rRNA from 1 species
UACAGAGGUCCCAAGCGUUGUUCGGAUUCACUGGGCGUAAAGGGUGCGCAGGUGGGCUGGCAAGUUCGAUGUGAAAGCCCCGGGCUUAACCCGGGAAUGGCAUUGGAAACUGCCGGUCUGGAGGGUUGGAGGGGGGACUGGAAUUCUUGGUGUAGCAGUGAAAUGCGUAGAUAUCAAGUGGAACACCAGUGGCGAAGGCGAGUCCCUGGACAAUACCUGACACUGAGGCACGAAAGCUAGGGGAGCAAACAGG